rnacentral:lncRNA from 1 species
CCAGUUCUUGGUUAUGCUAUCUUUGAUGUCCUUCUGGCACCAAGAGCCUCCUGCCUGCAGCUGACACAUGGGUUCAAGCUUGGCUUUGUGCCUUGUCCUACUUGGGGACAGUCUGGGGACACGGAGAAGAAAAGGCGGCCUCUGGAAGGACCUAGCACCCUGCAGCCAGUUGCUGAGAAGCCACUCCUCUUCCUAAGGCAGCCUGAUGGCACCUACUGCAGCCCAAAAAGGCAGCAAGAGACCGUGAGCAUGCAGGGUAAUCAGGCCAAAAUGACCUGGACCAUGCAAAUGGUCUGAUAAAAACUCUCCUUGCAAACUUUGCUUCUCUGUGCU